UUCAAAUAAACAUGUUAGACUAUAACCUGGUCUUGUCUGACUUCUGACUUGUCCAUCAGAGUACAACACUGGCACUUGCUCAUUAUUCUUAAUUCUCCACUCAGUUUCUAUAUGCAACAACGGCAGGUAUAUUGUGUUAGGCCACAGAUCAGCCAUGCCCACAAUGAAUGGCAGAACAAGCUUAAGAGACUAUUCUUGUUCCUACUGGGGACCAAUGCUCAUUUUGCUGACACAGUUUCUACAGAUAUUUUAAGAAGCAAUCAUGUUUUUAUAUUUCUAGCUGGUUUGCUCUUGUACUCAUUUCUGUCUUCUUUGUCACAUUUUUACUUCUUUUUCAAGCUCUGUCCAAAUUCGGACCUGCCACAUCUUUGCAGAAUUAUACUUUUUUCUUUAAAUUGGGCUGUUUAAUCCUUCUUGUUACCCACGGGUAGCAAAUCCAUAAUUUGUAUUUAUUCACAUUCUUUGAAACAUAUUCUAUAUAUUCUGCAAUAUCCCCAUUAAUGUUGGCUACUACAUCUCCAGAUAUUUUUAAUCAGCCUGUUCUAAAGGGGUAGGGCUUAAAUGUAGUCCUUGCAGCAUACUCUUGACACUAUCACUGCAUCUCUAAUUGACCUAUUCAUUUUAUCAAACUAAUUUAUCAAUCCAGCUGUAUUCUCAUUUUCUUCUACACGACCCUUGCACUUUAACAAUGUUAAACGGGCAGAAUUACAAAGAAAGGUCCGGAAAUAAGAUCUGCCAAACAGCUCUGCAGAAUACCAACACAAACUCAGCAAGCAGAACGGCUUUCUCCUAUACUGCCCCCUCUGGUAGGGAGGCCUCCUCCCCAAUGAGCGGCUUCCCUGAUGAUAGACAACUGGAUUCUCCAAUCAUGGUACACCAUUGUCCCGACUGUUGACCAAUGACAAGGAAGAUAAAGAACGGGCAGGCGGUGAGGAACCAGUGCGCUGAUUGAGGCUGGGCAAUAAUCGCUCUGUAUGAUGACCAAUCAGAGCCGGGGGUCGCGGCUACCCCGCCUAUCGGUGGUUGCGCAGGCCGGAAAUCAUGAUUGUGAUGGGCAGAGCGGCGGGCCAAUGGGAGAGAGACGUUUGUGAGCGCGCUGUCCCGCGGGGGGCGCGCCCCCGCUCGGGGCGAGCGGGUUGAGCAGAGGUGAAGAUGGCGUUUGGGCGCCGGAAAGGAUUAACGGAGGAGAUGGAUGGUGAAAGCAAUGACAAAUCGGAGCUUCGGCAGUGAGUAGAUGACGGGAGAACAGCCGGCCCUGGAAAUGACGGCGCGAAGUAGGAUUAACGGCGCCCGGUUGAUUUCUUGCUGGCGUUACCAAACCAUGAUGGACUGGUACAAAAUCAUCGCAGAAAGUAAAGUCUCUCAAAUCUGCUUUGAAGCUGUCAAAACAACAAGCCUUCCCUGUACCAGCACUUCUGUUUUUAUAAGCAGCAAGGUCUCAAAUGGCCUGGAUUAAUGACUGUCCUGUUUGGGCUGUUUACUAUCUCGAUGAAGAAUGGCGAUAUGAUGAUGAUCACUGACCUCUAAGCUACACCAAGACUCUCAACCCCUCCUAUCUCCACCUCCACCCACUAACCAGCCUUCUCCCCCUGCCAGUCUCACAAUCAGUACCCCACUCCCUGACAACCACCCUGAGUUAACUGUUCAAAAGCAAGCCACACUGCUUGAAGUCCACAAUGCUCUGACUCCUGUAAGAUCUGGUGUCACAUCCAUCAUGCUAAAUUACGCAGAAGUCGGAACAGACCAUAUCUUGUCAGUGUUGAGAAGAUUCCAGGUGGGCAUGUCCAAACCAGAACCUUGGUUCUGAAAAUGUCAGACCUAUUAAGUAUCAUGUGGUUGGAUGAAGGCACCUGCACUGGAGGCAAACGUGUUUCACUUCAUCGCUGUUUAAUCUUUGUGUGAAUGUUCUUCACUUUGUUCCUGUCCCGGCGUGUGGCAAAUGCAGUGUUAGCUUCACAAUACGAGAGCCUGAGCCUAGUAGCUAAUACCGGCCCAGGGAUUGCUGCUCUGCUUACAAUGGCCUUCCAUUCUCACCGUACGACUAGACACUAUUUCAUCCGACAUUGAGCUUCCCUUGUAUUUAGUUGCCAGUGCUUGCUCACCUCAGCUUUUGUUUUGGUCUAAUCCAGCGUCCGAAUGCUGCUUUUGACUCGGAACCACCAGUUACUUAAGAAUGUGCCAGGAGAUGAUUGAACCCUUGCAGCCCCCUAACAGACAUGGCACUGGGCCUGUUGCUAGUACUGCCCUCUUUCCACUCCGUUAACCACCUGCUGCUGUCGGUCUCAGAUCAAAUAAACAGAAAAGCACUUCCAGCUGGUCCUCCCACUCCACCCCAAACUUUUAAAACAAAACCUACUGUAUGUAAUGAGAGAGGCCAGCAGCCUGUCAGGGUGCCCUGAGCCUCUUGCCCACAAUGCUGACCAGCUUUUUUUUCUCUUGUUUGGAGGCGACUGCUGCUGAGUGCUUGCAGCAUUCCCUGCUGAUGGCCCUUGGAUUGUCUGUGGGUUGACUGUUUCGAUAUUGCACAUCAUUUAGCAAGCUGUGAUAAGCUGAGCGCAAAGUUCAAGAUCAUUUAACCCUGGGGCUAAGUGAGGUGAGCUGGGCUGGGUGCUUUCUCUGUGUCAGCUUUAAGAGAAGCUGAUGGCAGGCCUGGGGAGUACCCUUGGACGUGUGGAGCACAGGGAAGUGGUUAUUCCUUUGGCUUUUUCCCAAUCACGCUCAAGCUUAGUCUGCAGCCAGUAGAGACCAAUGAAGGUUUUCCAAAUCAGUGGGGCAGUUCCAUGACACACUUUUGGCUUUGACCUAUGAGUUUUGUGCAUCCAAGAUCAUCACAGGGCACAUGUUAAGUAUCAUCCAGUCAGAGCAGUAGAGGAUUGAUUCCUGGUGUGGGCAUUGUGCACCAUCUUAUUGCAUCCCAGAUAACGGUGACACCAGGUCAGAAUGGCCAGCUUGUGCGGUCAGUUUCUCCAAAGCAGCAAGAAAAACCCUUCAAUCACAUGGAGAUUCUCUUUCAUUUCUUUUAAAUGUUAGGAUGUAAUAGCCUAAAGUUUUUAGCCUGCACAAGAUGUUUCCUAUAUGAGAAGCCAGACCAACUGGCAUCUGCAUACAAUCAGUGACCUCUUCAGCCAGUCUCAUUCUCACUGGUAUCAGCCCCACAAAGAGCUUCACUGGGACUGAUCUGUGUUGUGACUGAGCCCUGUUAGAUGAGCAAUAGCAGAAGCAUUGGGGCUGGAGUGGAGUUUUCAGCUGUUUGUACAUAGCGCAGUAUCAGUAGAAUAGAGUGCUAUCCUUUACCCCUCUCAUUUUUAGGACUUUUUCAAACUUGCAUUUUUGUUUAACUUUUAGUUUUUCAUUUAGAUAAAAGUUCGGGCUGUGCAAUACUAUUAACGUGAAAAAUAAAUGUCACGAUUAGUUUUUAAAACAAAAACAGAACAACAAAAUCACCAAUGUCUUCCAUUUGGAGAUGUAUAGUUCCACACCACUUUAGUGCUUCAGUAGCAGCUGUAGUGCCAAACCUUAGAGGCAGUGCAUGAGGUUAGCGGAGCUUGCCAUGAGCGGUUUAACCGAACUUUUUUUUUUAAACAGGGCGUAGCUUAAUGAACUAACCAGGGUCCAGGUUUAUCCAGCAAGCUGGUUUGAGGAAUGUCAGGAUGGAAAUCAGAGUCUCAUUGUUGUGCUUAUGGCCUCCCAUCUCUUCUGUAGAAUUUAGUGAACCCAGCUGCUUGAGAUUGCUGGCUGUCAGCUUUAGAUUUGAUGGAAGGUGGUAGUUUUCUUAUACAGAGAUUCAGGAAAGUGGUCUGACCCACCAGCUUGAGAAGGGGAGUGUCCAGACUAGCUUUCCGUGAACUGAAUAGAUUGUAUCGGUCAUCUGAGCAGUUACCAACCUUGAUCACUUAUCUGGGAGUUACUAGAUCAUCUUUGUAGGCAGUGGUUGAGGGAAGCUUUGGCUCCACAUCAUUGUGUUGUGCAGAUUAUAUUGGUUGCUUGUACAUAAGACACUAAGCCCCACUACCUGUAGAGCUUAAAACAGUGCCCAGCAAUACUUGUAUUUAUGGUGUAGCAGUACUAUCAAUUGGAGUGACUUCUGCUUUCACCAAGAGUGCAGUUACAGUAUAAACACUGCCUGACUCGGAACUUGGUGAGACUCCUGGGUCUUUGCUUGUGCCCAGCUUACGUGAUGCAGGUUUGGUGUUGGUUGAAGCUGAAACCUUUUCUCCUGAAUAUGAUACUACCAUGUGAAUGCAGUCCUAAUGUAGCAGCAGCUCGACUCUAUGUAGUUAACGAUGCAUAAGAGCAAUGCCUGAAGCUGGCCUGGUCAUUGGUGGGUUUCACUCUAAUUUUUUUUAACACUGGGGCAGGAACCACCAACCCACCGUUUAGCACACACCUGACUGUCACAGAUGAGAAUACUUAUCCACUCGUUCUGUGAUGUGACCUUUUGCAGCGAGGACAGUGGGAUUUACCAUAUUUAGUGAACAUCGUAGAACCUUGGAAAAGGCUUUACUUUUUCUUUUAGGCAACAUCCCUCAUGCUGGCUGAAAUUAAUUUCAGAGAUCAGAUUAUAGUGCAACUGUCACUGUUCUUUUUUUUGAUAAAGUAUCUAGCGCUUUGCAAAAUAAUUCCAGCUUUGGGUAAGAUUAUUAAAUACCUCCUGGGUUUCACCUGCAAAUGAAACUCGUAGCACAAAUUGUAGUCACAUUAAAAUGCAAAUAAAGCCAUAUGAUUUUAGAGUAUGUGCCAUUAGUAGCAAUAACUGUUGUACAUGUUAGUAAUGCUGUUGCCAGUAUAGGAAAGAAUGAACUUGGAAGAGCAGUGGUUGACAAAUGACCAAACAGACCUCAACCUAGUUUUUCUGGAACAGGCUGAAUUGUAGAGUUGGAAACCUUCAAACGCGGAGCAUUGGCAUUGCUCUAUACCCAUCAACGUUUGGACUAGCCAGCAAUACCUGUGAUAUCGUGGGUGCAAUGCUUGAAUGGUUCCUGACAGCUGCUGCCUAAGCUCACUGAAGCUGGAAGUAUCAGUGCAGCAUCCAUGGGAGGAGAAAAUGCUAACAGGACGAACAAAAAGCAGGCCCUGUUCCAGGGAGUCCCAGACUGAGCGCAGCCUGCUUCCCAUGGACUGUGAAUGCUCGUUUUUUUAACUGUCCUGGGAGGCUGCUAUCUGUUGAGGCAGCAGGUUCAAGGCUCACUGCUGCAUAGAGCUGGGUACAGGAAGCAAGAAUUCAACUGGAAACGUGUCGAUGGAAUGUUGAACUGACCACAAAAAUCCAGGGUGAAGGAGGCUGAGUUUUUAAUUAUGCAUGUUCAAAAAUGUAUUAUACAGUAGCUAGAUCUGUCAUGAAAUCAGUCUGAUGUUUAAUUAUGCAUUAACAAACACUGAGCAAUAGGAAUUAAAAUAUACGGCAGAUAUACCAUCCUGUUCAUUAUUGUUCAGCCUGCAAAGCUAAUUCUCUUGUAAAGAGACCGAGAGAAUGAAGCAUUGUGCUGUACAGCUAACAGGGCAGGGACUUUCAGAGGAUUGAGGGAGCACUGGGUAUAAUCCAGUGGUGAUCCCACAGUGAAUCUGUGCACGGAUUUGACUGUUGCUGGUUUGCUGGGGGUUGGCAGUGUAUGUUUUGAUUUCCCCUGUUUUAUGUCCAGGCCAUCCAACUGUCAUUUCAGAAGUGGAAUAGACUACACAGAAAUGAAACUUCAACCAGAGCUGGGCUAGAUGCUCCCCUCCCAGUGCCUGCUAUCUGCACUGACUAAUCAAACUGGAAUGGGUCAAACAGAGUUUGGAUAAAGGUUGUAGCUCAGGUUGAGGUUCUCAAUGUAAGUUUGCUUGCUGAGCUAGAAGCUUCACUGGAGGCUCACUGAUGACAUUGCCUAGUAUGGUGAUGAAAUAUCUGAAAGUGAACCUUCCAGCUCAGCAAGCAAACUUACAUCCAGAUGGGUCAAACGCUUAGGUUGCAGCGUAAUGCCUCAGUCCUCAAUCUCUCUUCAAUAGGGCAGUGCUGGAUUUAUAACAUUCUGCUGUCUAAAUUUGUUAUUUGAAUCUUUUUUAUGGAAUUACAGUGCUAAAUGUUUUCUAGAUGCAUGAGGCAGCUUGCAUUAAACUAUGCAUUUCAGAGAGAAGGGAUGAGAAUUGCAUGAAUCACUCACUGCUGUAGAAUGAUCCCUCGAGCAGUCUGAUUGCUCUAACUUCACCUCUGUACAGAACUAACAGCAAUAAAAGACCCGUGUGCCAAUGGUGCACUAGUGUUUA